rnacentral:rRNA from 1 species
UACAUGGGGUGCAAACGUUGCUCGGAAUUAUUGGGCGUAAAGCGCACGUAGGCGGUUUGUUAAGUCGGAUGUGAAAUCCCUCGGCUCAACUGAGGAAGUGCAUCCGAAACUGGCAAGCUUGAGUACGAAAGAGGGUCGCGGAAUUCCCGGUGUAGAGGUGAAAUUCGUAGAUAUCAGGAGGAACACCGGUGGCGAAGGCGGGUCUCUGGGCCGAUACUGACGCUGAGGAGCGAAAGCGUGGGGAGCGAACAGG